rnacentral:rRNA from 1 species
UAGCCUACGGGACGCAGCAGUGGGGAAUCUUCCGCAAUGGGCGCAAGCCUGACGGAGCAAUGCCGCGUGAACGAAGAAGGUCUUCGGAUUGUAAAGUUCUGUCCUUAUCGAAAAGAGGGUAUAGAGUGAAAAAUGAUAUGCUAGGACGGUAGAUGAGGAGGAAGCCCCGGCUAACUACGUGCCAGCAGCCGCGGUAAUGCGUAGGGGGCGAGCGUUGUCCGGAAUCACUGGGCGUAAAGGGCGCGUAGGCGGUAAUAUAAGUCAGAUGUGAAAGGUGGGGGCUCAACCCCUCGAGUGCCACUGAU